rnacentral:rRNA from 1 species
AGCGAACGCUGGCGGCAGGCUUAACACAUGCCAGUCGAGCGGGCACUUCGGUGUCAGCGGCAGACGGGUGAGUAACACGUGGGAACGUACCCUUCGGUUCGGAAUAACGCUGGGAAACUAGCGCUAAUACCGGAUACGCCCUUUUGGGGAAAGGUUUACUGCCGAAGGAUCGGCCCGCGUCUGAUUAGCUAGUUGGUGGGGUAAUGGCCUACCAAGGCGACGAUCAGUAGCUGGUCUGAGAGGAUGAUCAGCCACACUGGGACUGAGACACGGCCCAGACUCCUACGGGAGGCAGCAGUGGGGAAUAUUGGACAAUGGGCGCAAGCCUGAUCCAGCCAUGCCGCGUGAGUGAUGAAGGCCUUAGGGUUGUAAAGCUCUUUUGUCCGGGACGAUAAUGACGGUACCGGAGGAAUAAGCCCCGGCUAACUUCGUG